AAAACGCUUCAUUGAAAUAAUAUCCCUGUUUUGGUUGUUGGAAAAGAUGGAAUUGGUGAUGAAACUAAUGUUGAUAAUAUUAAUGUCAGGACUCAUCAUCCAAAUAGCCGCUGACGUCAAGGUUUUGGAAUGUCAAAGCUCGUGCACUGAUGCGUUUCUCCAGUGUGUGAAGUUAUACGACUGUAGCAAACGUCCUGAAGAUAGUAAGGAGUGCGGACUUUUCUGUUCCAAAUGGGUGGACGAGUGCAUGUCCGGCUGCAGAUAAAAUGUAGAAUUACACCCACAUAACACAGUAUAUCUGAAUAUAUAUACAAAUAAAGAAUGAUCAUCGU